rnacentral:lncRNA from 1 species
GUUCAGAGACAGCUCGGCAGACCUAUUCCGCUAAUAAAGGCUUGUUGUGGCCUGCUCUGGUCUUGGUCUUCGGCCUUUUACCUGACAGUGAAAUCCUGCACGGCAGAGCAGAUGACCUCUGAGCUGACAAUGUUGCAGGGAAGGAAGAAGAAAGUGAAGUUCAAUUGUAUAUAUUCUUAAACAAGACUUCUGAAUGAAGAGCUUUUCCUUUCCAGUCAAAGCAACCUCUCUAUCUUGUUAAUUUGGACAAGACAGGGCAUUCCUCAGACUUUCAUAGAAGAUCACAUCCAUCUGAAGAACGGG